rnacentral:pre_miRNA from 1 species
ACGUUCGCGCACGUCCAGCGGAGAUCCUGCCAUCACGGUGUUAGGACUCUUCUGACAUGCAUGAACGAGU